AUUGAACGCUGGCGGCAGGCCUAACACAUGCAAGUCGAACGAGUGGCGGACGGGUGAGUAAUGUCUGGGAAACUGACUGAUGGAGGGGGAUAACUACUGGAAACGGUAGCUAAUACCGCAUACCAUCGGAUGUGCCCAGAUGGGAUUAGCUAGGAGGUGGGGUAAAGGCUCACAUAGGCGACGAACCCUAGCUGGUCUGAGAGGAUGACCAGCCACACUGGAACUGAGACACGUGCCAGAAGCCUACGGGAGGCAGCAGUGGGGAAUAUUGCAAAAUGAGCGCAAGCCUGAUGCAGCCAUGCCGCGUGUAUGAAGAAGGCCUUCGGGUUUUAAAGUACUUUCAGCGGGGAGGGGUUACCCGCAGAAGAAGCACCGGCUAACUCCGUGCCAGCCGCCGCGGUAAUAC
rnacentral:rRNA from 1 species